rnacentral:rRNA from 1 species
UACGUAGGGUGCAAGCGUUGUCCGGAAUUAUUGGGCGUAAAGAGCUCGUAGGCGGUUUGUCGCGUCUGUCGUGAAAGCCCACGGCUUAACCGUGGGUCUGCGGUGGAUACGGGCAGACUGAGAGGCAGGUAGGGGAGAAUGGAAUUCCCGGUGUGAGCGGUGAAAUGCGCAGAUAUCGGGAGGAACACCGGUGGCGAAGGCGGUCUCUGGGCCUG